GAUGAACGCUGGCGGCGUGCCUAAUACAUGCAAGUCGAGCGAAUGGAUUAAGAGCUUGCUCUUAUGAAGUUAGCGGCGGACGGGUGAGUAACACGUGGGUAACCUGCCCAUAAGACUGGGAUAACUCCGGGAAACCGGGGCUAAUACCGGAUAACAUUUUGAACCGCAUGGUUCGAAAUUGAAAGGCGGCUUCGGCUGUCACUUAUGGAUGGACCCGCGUCGCAUUAGCUAGUUGGUGAGGUAACGGCUCACCAAGGCAACGAUGCGUAGCCGACCGGAGAGGGUGAUCGGCCAGAAUGGGACUGAGACACGGCCCAGACUCCUACGGGAGGCAGCAGUAGGGAAUCUUCCGCAAUGGACGAAAGUCUGACGGAGCAACGCCGCGUGAGUGAUGAAGGCUUUCGGGUCGUAAAACUCUGUUGUUAGGGAAGAACAAGUGCUAGUUGAAUAAGCUGGCACCUUGACGGUACCUAACCAGAAAGCCACGGCUAACUACGUGCCAGCAGCCGCGGUAA
rnacentral:rRNA from 1 species